ACGCUCGACACCUACAGGAGGCAGCAGUAGGGAAUCUUCCACAAUGGACGCAAGUCUGAUGGAGCAACGCCGCGUGAGUGAAGAAGGUCUUCGGAUCGUAAAACUCUGUUGUUAGAGAAGAACACGAGUGAGAGUAACUGUUCAUUCGAUGACGGUAUCUAACCAGCAAGUCACGGCUAACUACGUGCCAGAAGCCGCGGUAAUCUGAGCGGGCUGGCAAGGC
rnacentral:rRNA from 1 species